rnacentral:rRNA from 1 species
UGGGGAAUAUUGGACAAUGGGCGCAAGCCUGAUCCAGCCAUGCCGCGUGAGUGAUGAAGGCCUUAGGGUCGUAAAGCUCUUUCGCCUGUGAAGAUAAUGACGGUAGCAGGUAAAGAAACCCCGGCUAACUCCGUGCCAGCAGCCGCGGUAAUACGGAGGGGGUUAGCGUUGUUCGGAAUUACUGGGCGUAAAGCGCACGUAGGCGGACCAGAAAGUUGGGGGUGAAAUCCCGGGGGCUCAACCCCGGAACUGCCUCCAAAACUAUUGGUCUAGAGUUCGAGAGAGGUGAGUGGAAUUCCAAGUGUAGAGGUGAAAUUCGUAGAUAUUUGGAGGAACACCAGUGGCGAAGGCGGCUCACUGGCUCGAUACUGACGCUGAGGUGCGAAAGUGUGGGGAGCAAACAGGAUUAGAUACCCUGGUAGUCCACACCGUAAAACGAUGAAUGCCAGUCGUCGGGUAGCAUGCUAUUCGGU